CAGCUGAGUCACACACACACUUCUACUGCAAAGCGGUUGGCAGGAGGUACAGACUGGUGUGGUGCAAGCAGACAGGAGGGGGAUACCAACUCUAGAUAGCACGCCUCUGCGCAGUCCUUCUGAAGUCUCGGCGCACGUGGGUCGGCCCGCCUGCGGGUCCUCCGCCUGCGCGCGCCGCCGGGGCAUCUUUACCGCCCCGCCCGGCUGGGAGCCCGCCCCCACCCCAGCGCACACGUGGGUUCUCGCACGUCC